UGCUAACCUUUUUAAUUUUAUUUGCUGUACAUAUUAAUUACACAGGUUUGCCAAUAUAUGUUUCUAUUCAAAAGUGGUAAUAAUCACUUAAAAAGGGUCUUUUAUGGUACAUGUGAUAAAUGAAAGGGUGUGGCUUAGGCAGGCCCAACAAAUCAAGAAAGCUAAAAGCGUGUUUGGUUUUUCUUUUCAUUGGCAACUUCUUCUUAUUUUGAGACUAAUUAAUCAAGAAUGAUUUGAAGAUGAAAGCUUAAAGGACUAUGACUAUGAGUUGAGCAAUUUUCUAAGCAAAGAAAUGAAUGAUUUAUUGGACGACUGAUUUUAACCAUAGACGAUGAUUGAAUUGUAAUAUUUAAA